rnacentral:rRNA from 1 species
UACGUAGGGGGGCAAGCGUUGUCCGGAAUCAUUGGGCGUAAAGCGCGUGUAGGCGGCUCGGUAAGUCCGCUCUGAAAGUCCAGGGCUCAACCCUGGGAUGCGGGUGGAUACUGCCGGGCUCGAGUCCGGAAGAGGCGAGUGGAAUUCCCGGUGUAGCGGUGAAAUGCGUAGAUAUCGCCUGGAACGCCGAAGGUGAAAACAGUCUGCUGGGGGCGUACCGACGCUGAGACACGAAAGCCAGGGGAGCGAACGGG